AUGUUAUAUGAAAGGAGAGAAGGCUUGCACUCCCUUUGAUAAGGAUGGAAGGGGUCCUACCUGCCUUACAAUACACAAAUAGUUAAGGCAUGCCACCUACUUAGUGGCAUAUGGGCUAUCUUACUGC